rnacentral:rRNA from 1 species
GAGUUUGAUCGUGGCUCAGAUUGAACGCUGGCGGCAGGCCUAACACAUGCAAGUCGAGCGGUAGAGAGAAGCUUGCUUCUCUUGAGAGCGGCGGACGGGUGAGUAAUGCCUAGGAAUCUGCCUGGUAGUGGGGGAUAACGCUCGGAAACGGACGCUAAUACCGCAUACGUCCUACGGGAGAAAGCAGGGGACCUUCGGGCCUUGCGCUAUCAGAUGAGCCUAGGUCGGAUUAGCUAGUUGGUGAGGUAAUGGCUCACCAAGGCGACGAUCCGUAACUGGUCUGAGAGGAUGAUCAGUCACACUGGAACUGAGACACGGUCCAGACUCCUACGGGAGGCAGCAGUGGGGAAUAUUGGACAAUGGGCGAAAGCCUGAUCCAGCCAUGCCGCGUGUGUGAAGAAGGUCUUCGGAUUGUAAAGCACUUUAAGUUGGAGGAAGGGCAGUAAAUUAAUACUUUGCUGUUUUGACGUUACCGACAGAAUAAGCACCGGCUAACUCUGUGCCAG